rnacentral:misc_RNA from 1 species
AACACUGUUAACCUGCGGUACCUGCGGAAGGAUCAUUACAGAGUUGCAAAACUCCCUAAACCAUUGUGAACGUUACCUAAACCGUUGCUUCGGCGGGCGGCCCGGGUCCUUCCCGGCGCCCCUCGGCCCUCGCGGGCGCCCGCCGGAGGUAAACUAAACUAUUGCAUUGUAUGGCCUCUCUGAGUCUUCUGUACUGAAUAAGUCAAAACUUUUAACAAUGGAUCUCAGAUCGGAAGAGCA